rnacentral:rRNA from 1 species
AUUGAACGCUGGCGGCAUGCCUUAUACAUGCAAGUCGAACGGCAGCAUGAUCUAGCUUGCUCGAUUGAUGUCGAGUGGCGAACGGGUGUGUCAUACAUCUGAACUUGCUCUGUAGUGGGGGAUAACUAGUCGAAAGAUUAGCUAAUACCGCAUACGACCUGAGGGUGAAAGUGGGGGACUGCAAGGCCUCAUUCUAUAGGAUCGGCCGAUGUCUGAUUAGCUAGUUGGUGAGGUAAAGGCUCACCAAGGCGACGAUCAGUAGCUGGUCUGAGAGGACGAUCAGCCACACUGGAACUGAGACACGGCCCAGACUCCUACGGGAGGCAGCAGUGGGGAAUUUUGGACAAUGGGCGAAAGCCUGACGCAGCAAUGCCGCGUGUGUGAAGAAGGCCUUCGGGUUGUAAAGCUCUGUUAUCAGGGAAGAAAUGGCUCUGAUUAAUACAUGGAGUCGUUGACGGUACCGGAAGAGUAAGGCACGGCUAACUACGUG